UAAAUUAGAGUGUUCAAAGCAGGCUCAGCCUGGAUACCUUAGCAUGGAAUAAUAACAUAUGACUGUCCGCGAUGUUGUUGGUUGCAUCCGGCGGUAAUGAUUAAUAGGGACGAUCGGGGGCAUUUCUAUUCAGCAGUCAAAGGUGAAAUCCUUGGAUUUGCUGAACAGACACUGCUGCGAAAGCGUCUGCCAAGGGCGUUUUCAUUAAUCAAGAACGAAAGUCAGGGGAGCGAACAGGAUUGGAUACCCUCGUAGUCUUGACCAUACACCAUGCCGACUCGGGAUUGGCGAGCCAUGGGGCCCGCCAGCACCGUAUGAAAAAUCAAAGUCUUUGGGUUCCGGGGGGAGUCUGGUCGCAAGGCUGAAACUUAAAGGAAUUGACAGAUGGGCACCACCAGGAGUGGAACCUGCGGCUUAAUUUGACUCAACACGGGGAAACUUACCAGGUCCGGACAUAGUGAGGAUUGACNGAGUGAAAGCUCUUUCUUGA
rnacentral:rRNA from 1 species